UCUUGAUAUCCAAAUUUCCCCCUAAACCUUCUCGCUCUACUACAUGUUUUAAACGCGAUCCUCGUAGCUUGUUCCAAGAAAAUCGCCGACGAAGUUGCAUCAUAAUCAAUAAAUCAAUUAAAUCAUGGCCAUUUUUUUCACGACGUGUAUUAAAAUUUUACUAGGAUCGAUUUACACCAGAUUCAAUGUCUGGUGAUCAUCCACUGAAAUUAAAACCAUUUUCUUUGUCAAUAACAUCUAGGGGAGAGUGGGUGAAUGGGAUAAGGUGUCGAUUAGGAAGAGGAGGAAGAGAGGUACACCUUGAGACCAGGGGUUCAAACCCCCUGGAGAGCAUUGUUGGUUGCUCAUAUACCCGCUCUGGCGCCACUGUGGCGUCACAUGCAGGAUUAUCUAACCCCGUGCUGGAGAGGGAACUCUGCGCUUAUGGACGUGCAAUUCUGUCUGAUGGCAAAAUUGUGCGAAUAGGAAGGAUGUUGUUAAAUCUCUUCAUUCGAAACAUGUAAUAAGCAUUGUACAUCAAUCCGACAUCAUUGAAAGGCUGGUCUUUGACGCUGCCAAGACUUGGGAAUUGACGACUCGAUGAGAAUCAAUCAAAGAUAAAACUUAUUGAAAUUUAUUAGCCAACUGAUUUUGGGAAUCGACAACUCGGAACCGAACACAAGGCGAAACUUCCGUCUAGCAAAUCUCGGGGCGACGGACUCGCAUCGCACGUCGAGGAAAAAUUCUCUUCAUUCGCUGUUCUAGAUGAUUUGGAGUGGUCCUUAAUCAUUCGUACCUUAUUGAUGGCGCCUUUUCACAAAAUCAAUUCAGUCCAAGCAAAGCAUCUGCCGUUUGGAUUAGAAUUUCCUUUCGUUUUUCUGAAACACGUGGCCUGAAUUAAACAAAACCAGCAGAGCAACAAGAUUCGUCAUCCGUGUCUAACUACAGCUGUGGCUAAUAUCCAUCGAUGAAGAACUCUCCUUUGAAGAAAUAAUGCGGAUUGACAUCGCUGGGCCCACUGGUGUUUUGGCAACUCCAUCAGAGUCAUGACGUCAUUACACGCUGGUCGUUUCUCAACGGGCCCCUGCAAGAUAACGGUACAAAAACAGUUUACAGCCAUACUACCUGUGCGAUGAGAUUUACAUCACAAUUGGAACCUACUUGUGGGGAAAUCUGCAGGAAUUGCAACGAGUUUAUUCAGCCAGAAUAAAUUUGCGGCCCAGGAAACAUUGCACCAUAUCAUCCAAUCGUUCUUAUCGAGCUGGUUUUUAUGGGGACGGUGGUGUGAAUUGUGCAAGGUUAACGGUUCAUCAACAAGAAGAAAGCGGAUGAUGUGAAAAUUAAAAUUCAUUUCUGUAGUUGCGAUUUUUUCGUGUCAUUUUACGCAAAGCUAGACAGCCAGAUAUUAUUUUACUAAAGUUUAUAAUAAUCACUGAAAUUUCUGUUCCAUAAUCUUUUAGUUUCGCGCGGUUUGGAAACUAAAAAAAAACGUUUGUUUUGAAUUUUUUAUCAUUUCAUGCCAUCUAGGUUUGAUUCAUUAAACCUUGUGUUGGCUUACCAGCGGCCAUUUUCUUUCAACAGUUUUUCACGUUGACACAUCAACACAGUGCACGGUACACACCAAGCUUUCACGUAAAAUGAAGAAGUAAAAAUUCCUUUCCAGCUCCAGUCUUCACAAAAACGAUUUGAUUCACUUUCUUCUCCUGGACAUGCGGAGGACCUAAAUGGACAAUUUCAGCUUCAAUCUUUGAUAACGACAGAUAUCCGACGGCGUCAUUUGUUGCAGUCAAACGUUGCGACAUUUCUGGGGGUAAAUGGCCGAAGAAUUAUCAUUAUUAUCCGUUCAGCGUAAUAAUAAUUUUAAUUUGAAAUGAACGUACCAGUCAAUUCCUUCUUCGAACUGACAAUGAUGAUGUUCGUUUCGAGAAAGUGUUGAAGUGCCGCUGCUUGUUUUUCUUUAUUUAAAAUUAGAAUUAUUUUAGGGUUUUCUUAUUUUAAACAACAAAAAAAGAAAGCCGAGUGUUACCAUUUGGGUCUUUUAAAUUUCCUGCUGCCAUGUUGGUUUCGGUUAAACGUUUGACGGUUUCUAAUAUUUCAAACAUGAGUUUCUUUUUUAAAAUAUCCACCAUUUGUUUGUUUCACAAAAAAAUGUUACCGUUCAUCUCCUCCUUCAAAUUCAUAACCGUGUCUUCCGUGUGAUCCAAACGUUGUGAGGUCGCUGCAAGUUCACACGAGAAGCGUUUAAUUUAUUUCCCCACCGUCCCUUUUUUUUCAAUUUCCGGAAGCAGUAAAUUAUACCUUUCAGUUCCUUGGUCAAAUCCGCCUUUGACUUGGUGCAACAGCUCAGAGCUUUGGCCGAUUCCUGCUUUAUAGUGUCUGGAAAAGUCGAAUAAGAAAGUGUUCGUUCGUGCCCUUUUAAAAUUUCUUAAAAGAUAAUUAUACCGGACAGUUCCUUCUGCAAAGUCACGACGAUGACGUUUGUUUCCACCAGGCGCUGCGAAGUUCCUGCAUUCGAGAUUUUUAUUAUUUUUUAAAUUUCAUGCGGUUUAUUUCUCGAUUUUUACAAAAUUGGUUAUUAUUACCGGCUAAUUCAUUUUUUAAUUUUCCUACGACGACAUUUGUGUCCACCAAGCGCUGUGCAUUUUUCGACGUGUUUUGCGAGAUUUCUUUUAAACGAAUUUGAUUAGUUGUCAAUCAUAAUUAUAAUUUUGAAACGAGAUCAUACCUGUACAUUUCUUCGACAAAUUUCCAACGGUGUCGUUCGUUUCAGUCAAGCGGCGUGAGAAGACUGUCAAUGGGUAAAG